UGUAAUAUCCAAAUUUAAAAGGGAAUCCCGUGUAAAUCGGGAGCAGUCUCCGCUGCUGUAAAUUCCAAAAAGUUUUUAGCAUUAUGCCACUGUUUAAUUAAAUGGGAAGGCGUUAAAAAUGGAAUGAGCCAGAAUACCUGCCACUAGAUU
rnacentral:ncRNA from 1 species